UUUUUGGUGUAUCCAUCAUUUAUCAGCAAUUGGAGGGACCUCCCUGUGGGAGCCCUCCAUAUUUAGUCUUUCCUAUUAUCUAUAUAUUAUUUCUGGGUACAAGCCCACAUUGAGGUGGAGCUGAUACCACCGUCCUGACCCAUCUUUUUCCUGCCCCUGUUCCCAGUGUUUUUUUGCUGGUCAGGAUAGUAGGAAAAUUAAUUUUCUCUUUAA